rnacentral:rRNA from 1 species
GAUGAACGCUAGCGGCAGGCUUAACACAUGCAAGUCGAGGGGUAUAGUUCUUCGGAGCUAGAGACCGGCGCACGGGUGCGUAACGCGUAUGCAAUCUACCUGUUGCAGAGGGAUAGCCCAGAGAACUUUGGAUUAAUACCUAAUGGUAUGUGAGAAUGGCAUCAUUUUCACAUUAAAGUCAAAACGGCAAAAGAUGAGCAUGUGUCCCAUUAGCGAGUUGGUAAGGUAACGGCUUACCAAGGCAACGAUGGGUAGGGGUCCUGAGAGGGAGAUCCCCCACACUGGUACUGAGACACGGACCAGACUCCUACGGGAGGCAGCAGUGAUGAAUAUUGGACAAUGGGCGCAAGCCUGAUCCAGCCAUGACGCGUGCAGGAUGACGGUCCUAUGGAUUGUAAACUGCUUUUGUACAGGAAGAAACACUGGUUCGUGAACCAGCUUGACGGUACUGUAAGAAUAAGGAUCGGCUAACUCCGUGCCAGCCGCCGCAGUAAUAC